UACGGGGGGGGUAAGCGUUGUUCGGAAUUACUGGGCGUAAAGGGCUCGUAGGCGGCCAACUAAGUCAUACGUGAAAUCCCUCAGCUUAACUGGGGAACUGCGUGUGAUACUGGAUGGCUUGGAUUUGGGAGAGGGAUGCGGAAUUCCAGGUGUAGCGGUGAAAUGCGUAGAGAUCAGGAAGAACACCGGUGGCGAAAGCAGCUCUCUGGGACGGUACUGACGCUGAGACGCGAAAGCGUGGGGAGCGAACAGG
rnacentral:rRNA from 1 species